rnacentral:tRNA from 1 species
AAUAGUUUAGUUUACAAAAAACACUUGAUUGUCAAUCAAGAAAAACUAUAAUGUAGUAACUAUU